rnacentral:rRNA from 1 species
GUCCUACGGGAGGCAGCAGUGGGGAAUAUUGGACAAUGGGCGCAAGCCUGAUCCAGCCAUGCCGCGUGAGUGAAGAAGGCCUUCGGGUUGUAAAGCUCUUUUACCCGGGAUGAUAAUGACAGUACCGGGAGAAUAAGCUCCGGCUAACUCCGUGCCAGCAGCCGCGGUAAUACGGAGGGAGCUAGCGUUGUUCGGAAUUACUGGGCGUAAAGCGCGCGUAGGCGGUUUUUUAAGUCAGAGGUGAAAGCCCGGGGCUCAACCCCGGAAUAGCCUUUGAAACUGGAAAACUUGAAUCUUGGAGAGGUCAGUGGAAUUCCGAGUGUAGAGGUGAAAUUCGUAGAUAUUCGGAAGAACACCAGUGGCGAAGGCGACUGACUGGACAAGUAUUGACGCUGAGGUGCGAAAGCGUGGGGAGCAAACAGGAUUAGAUACCCGAGUAGUCAC